rnacentral:rRNA from 1 species
AGAGUUUGAUCUGGCUCAGAACGAACGCUGGCGGCGUGCCUAACACAUGCAAGUCGAGCGCGAAUGGAGCAAUCCUAGUAGAGCGGCGCACGGGUGCGUAACACGUGGAUAAUCUGCCUGGGUGUCUGGGAUAACCAGUCGAAAGAUUGGCUAAUACCGGAUAAGCCCCCGAGAGCUUCGGCUCUUGAGGGAAAAGGUGGCCUCUGUAUACAAGCUAUCACAUCCAGAUGAGUCCGCGGCCCAUCAGCUAGUUGGCGGGGUAAUGGCCCACCAAGGCAACGACGGGUAGCUGGUCUGAGAGGACGAUCAGCCACACUGGAACUGAGACACGGUCCAGACUCCUACGGGAGGCAGCAGUGGGGAAUUUUGCGCAAUGGGCGAAAGCCUGACGCAGCAACGCCGCGUGUGUGAUGAAGGUCUUCGGAUUGUAAAGCACUUUCGACCGGGACGAAAACCCUGAAGCUAACAUCUUCAGGCUUGACGGUACCGGGAGAAGAAGCACCGGCUAACUCUGUGCCAGCAGCCGCGGUAAUACAGAGGGUGCAAGCGUUGUUCGGAAUUAUUGGGCGUAAAGCGCGUGUAGGCGGCUUUGCAAGUCGGGUGUGAAAGCCCUCAGCUCAACUGAGGAAGUGCGCCCGAAACUGCAGAGCUUGAGUGCCGGAGAGGGUGGCGGAAUUCCCCAAGUAGAGGUGAAAUUCGUAGAUAUGGGGAGGAACACCGGUGGCGAAGGCGGCCACCUGGACGGUAACUGACGCUGAGACGCGAAAGCGUGGGGAGAAANNGGAUUAGAUACCCNNGUAGUCC